rnacentral:rRNA from 1 species
AUGGGGAAGGCAAUAACAUAUAAGCGUACUAGAAGAGCAGAGAAUGACGUAAUCAGGUAUGGGGCAUCAUCUAUGCAAGGGUGCCGUGAUGAAAUGGAAGCUACCUGGGCAUCUCACGUACAUCUACUAGAUUAUGCGCCCACAUUAUUUUUUGGUGUUUAUGAUGGCCAUGGAGGAGCGGAAGUAGCAUCUUAUUGUUCGAGGAAGUUUCAUGAAGAGCUUAAAAAGGAUCCAAGCUAUGUCCUCAAUCUGCCUGGCGCAUUGAAGAAUGUGUAUUCCAGCAUUGAUGAGAAGUUGCAAGAAUCGGAUGAAUGGAGGAGGGACUUGGCUUAUUCUCCUGACAUCAGAAAUUUGAUAAGGUGGCUAUGGACUGAUGUUUGUGGUGCUAACUGGCUCCCCAAGGGCACAUCGACCAAUUCCCUCCCUGAUGGCGGCACUCGCUGCUUCUUUCUUUAUAGCCUAAUUUUUCAUUCGGUUUUGACUCUUUUUCGUAGUGUAUCUCAGUUUGGAAUUUGUUCUUCAGGCACCUUAUCUGCCCCCUCUACAUGA